rnacentral:rRNA from 1 species
CAGUAGCCACGGUAAUACGUAGGUCCCGAGCGUUAUCCGGAUUUAUUGGGCGUAAAGCGAGCGCAGGCGGUUAGAUAAGUCUGAAGUUAAAGGCUGUGGCUUAACCAUAGUACGCUUUGGAAACUGUUUAACUUGAGUGCAAGAGGGGAGAGUGGAAUUCCAUGUGUAGCGGUGAAAUGCGUAGAUAUAUGGAGGAACACCGGUGGCGAAAGCGGCUCUCUGGCUUGUAACUGACGCUGAGGCUCGAAAGCGUGGGGAGCAAACAGGAUUAGAGACCCCUGUAGUCCCUGUCUCUUAUACA